AGUGGACGCUGGCGGUAGGCCUAACACAUGCAAGUCGAACGGCAGCACAGUAAGAGCUUGCUCUUACGGGUGGCGAGUGGUGGACGGGUGAGGAAUACAUCGGAAUCUACUUUUUCGUGGGGGAUAACGUAGGGAAACUUACGCUAAUACCGCAUACGACCUACGGGUGAAAGCAGGGGAUCUUCGGACCUUGCGCGAUUGAAUGAGCCGAUGUCGGAUUAGCUAGUUGGCGGGGUAAAGGCCCACCAAGGCGACGAUCCGUAGCUGGUCUGAGAGGAUGAUCAGCCACACUGGAACUGAGACACGGUCCAGACUCCUACGGGAGGCAGCAGUGGGGAAUAUUGGACAAUGGGCGCAAGCCUGAUCCAGCCAUACCGCGUGGGUGAAGAAGGCCUUCGGGUUGUAAAGCCCUUUUGUUGGGAAAGAAAAGCAGCAGGUUAAUACCCCGCUGUUCUGACGGUACCCAAAGAAUAAGCACCGGCUAACUUCGUG
rnacentral:rRNA from 1 species